rnacentral:rRNA from 1 species
UACAGAGGGGGCAAGCGUUGUUCGGAAUUACUGGGCGUAAAGGGCGCGUAGGCGGCCGCCUAAGUCAGACGUGAAAUCCCUCGGCUCAACCGGGGAACUGCGUCUGAUGCUGGGUGGCUUGAAUCCGGGAGAGGGAUGCGGAAUUCCAGGUGUAGCGGUGAGAUGCGUAGAUAUCUGGAGGAACACCGGUGGCGAAGGCGGCAUCCUGGACCGGCAUUGACGCUGAGGCGCGAAAGCCAGGGGAGCAAACGGG